rnacentral:rRNA from 1 species
GAUGAACGCUGGCGGCGUGCUUAAUACAUGCAAGUCGAACGAAAACACGGCGAACGUUCUCCUCUGAUGUUAGCGGGGGGCGGAUGGGUAAGAAACGGAUAAACAACCUGUACGACGGGCAGCGAUACCGGCAACAAGAGCUCAUAACGACUGAUAUAGUGACCAGCGUGGCACGAUAAUGGGAUACGGUUUUGGCGUCUAUUGUAGAUGAAUCCGCGCCGCAUUAGCUAGUUGGUAAGGUAACGGCUUACCAAGGAACCGAUGCGUAGCCGACCGGAGAGGGUGACCGGCCACACUGGAACUGAGACACGGCCCAGACUCCUACGGGAGGCAGCAGUAGGGAAUCUUCCGCAAUGGGCGAAAGCCUGACGGAGCAACGCCGCGUGAGGGAUGAAGGUCUUCGGAUCGUAAACCCCUUUUAGCAGGGAAGAACAAAUGUCUGAUAAUCCAUGGACGUAUUGACGGUACCUAAAGAGAAAGCCACGGCUAACUACGUG